ACCAAUUCCGGACACAAUCUCAGCACUGUGGGAGACUGAGGCACCUGCCAAACCUGCACAGAUUCCUACAGCAGCCAGUUCGCUCUGUCUCGAGGCUUCAGAGGAACACGAACUUCUCUGAUGGAAGAGCCUUGUUCUAGAAGGGAGUGAAGCCUAGGUCUUUCCUGAGCACACAGAAGAUCAAGACCACACUCACUGACUUCUCAUAGUCAAGCAAUUUUGGCCAAUUAAAUGUCAGUUGGAAACUCCUGUGUCAGCUUCUCUGUGGCGGUGAGAAGUCCCUGUGUGACAUCCCAACUCUCCCCUCACCUGCGUUGGCAACCAAGAAAGCCUUGUGUUGGAGGUGGGGCCACAAGUUUAAAGCUAAGUUACCACCUCGAGGGCACAUUCCUGGAGAGCUUCCCAGGCCCACAGUGGCACGUGUAUGAGUGACAGAUCCACUUCUUUAUUACCUUUUUGAAGAACAGGAACCUUUGUCUGGAAAUUCCACAAGUAUGCCUUUUGCAAGAUUAAAAGUGCCACAAAGAACAAAAAUGAGCCCAGGACCAGAUGCAUGUUAAAAGCCAUCAGACACGUUAAGUUUCAUCUCCAUUGACCUGCAGAAGGAGUCUCUCACCACAGCCACCACAUCUAUGCAUGUGCUGAGUCACAUGUGAAGCCAGCACAUCUCAGAGUCUCACCGAAAGCUCAUGGUGAGACAAAGAGACUAGAAGGGGUAGAGUCAGCUAACUUCUCUCCUCCCACCACUGAUGAGGUUUUGGUGAAUUCUCUUCCCUUGCUCACUUGCAGAUUCAGCAGAGUUGUCUAUAGUGGCUUAAUUGGAAUUGCUGGACAAGAACAUUGAUUCUGCUUCACUCAGGUAAAGAUGAAAGUAACUGCAACAAUGGAUAUUGCAUUUGAAGGUCAUUGAGUUGUAGUCAGGCAAGGGGAGCAGAUAUUAAAACAUACACGCACAAAAUAAUGGGAUUUUUAUUUAGCAUCUCGCAAGUCUUGAGUAACAUAGUAUUAAUUGACCUUGAGAUUUCAUUCUUUUGUGACUCAUUGCAUUUGCUUUUGUGUUUCAGAUUAAUAUAGAAUAUUUUAAAGAAAGAGUAAUACAGCCAAUUUUAAUCUCUGGGAAGUUUAUGCAAGACAUAAUUUAUUUGUAAACUUUAUAAUAAUAUGUGAAUUAAAGACCCUUGUUAGUUUGGUAUGAAUCUGACAUAAGGGCUAAAAUCACUUUUUCAUUAGCCUUCUCCUGAUCUCAGGUUUACACCUAAGAGAUUCUUCACUCCAAAGUCUUCAUUUCCAAGCACAACCUGCUGGGUGCUGCGCUUUUCUGAGGUCUCCUCCCCAGCUCUGCAUCUAGCAGUGCUCAUGAUGCAAUGAUUUCCUGUCUGACUAUCCCAUUCCUAUCCUUUGCAAAGUUCACAUAGACCCAUUUGAGUACACUUUUAGUAGCAUACCAAGUUUAAGUGCCAAAGUUGUGUUUUAGUUCUUUCAUCCAGAAAGAAAACAUCAGCUGUUUCAAAUUUUAGAGUCCAGCUUGGGCAACAAGAGAAUUGUCAUGUCGUCGAUUGUGUAGUAAGACACAGUGAGUGUCCAGCAAUGUAAAAUCAGUCUAUAAAUGAGAAGAUUAAGACCAAAAGCAUCGGGUUACAAACAUCUCACUAAAGCCCAUUAGCAGGCAGAGAGCUCUCCGCGGAGCUAGAAAAUGAGACUUUUCCCUCCUUUCUGCCCCAUACAUUAGUGCUGAUCUCAGGAGCUCAUUUUUGCACCCUUUGUGGCAGACAACCAUAUAAUCAAAGGGUUCCCAUCACUAAAUCAUUUGAAAAGACAAGUAGAAAUUAGCUUUAGCUAAUUUAACUAGCCUUUGCCCCUCCUCCUGACCCUGAGGGUGAAGCACAUUUUAUCAUUCAUCCUCUGGGGGCUGGCUUAUGCUGGCUCCCUUUCCUUUGGCAGUGAUUUUAAGCAACCAAGUUCUUAUUACAAUUCUCAAAUUUAAAAUUAAGUUCUGAUCACAUCUUCUCAGGGCAUACCUAAGAGGCAGUGUUUAUCCCCAGCCAAAUCAAUUGUUUCCUCAAGUGACUCAUUCCUGAAAAUGUUAUUGUUUCUAAUAACCAGCUCAAAUAUGUAUUUUCAUUAAUCUUUUCUUUUACCUCCAUUUCACACGUGUUGCUGCAUGUCAGGCAGUUUCCACAAGGAUCUGCCAUGACAUCAUUGUGUGAGGUAUGAAAAAAAAAUUUUUUUUUUUCUAAUUUAAGAAUUACUUUUACUCAGAUGGUGGCUGGGCUGGGAAAUGUUCCCCAUUGCCCUGGGAGUUUUAGGCCAAGGCUUGUGUGUGUGUGUGUGUGUGUGUGUGUGUUGGAAGGGUCUCUCAUUGCCUAUUUCUGCUUAUAUAACACACACUGGUUUAGGUAGGUGGAGUCAGAAUGGGAAGAGGAAGUUCCCUAAGUGUUUCUUGCAUGCAAAGGUAAGUGGAGAAUGCCCAUCUGGGCACACAGGGCAAGGAUGCAGUGGAGUGACCUCUCCUUUCCCCUCCAACUCACAUGCUGGAGUUUAAAAACUGUAUCAGGAUGACAGAAACCAAGGGGUAAGACCACGGCUUCCUCUGGGGAUCUUCUAUAAACUGUAAGAACAAACACAGGUAUUUUGUAGUUCUUUAUCACAACGGGUCCUUUGCUGAUGAUUCUAGGUUUUAUGACUGCUGUUUUAUGUCCUACAAAUAGUAACAGGCAUUUCCCUUUGCCCUACACCACAGUAAGCCACUGGCCUAGACAAGAAGCAACUCUGCACUGCUUUUCAAACAUCAUCCUCCCUCUCGACCGCAGGGACUAUUUGGUUUCUAUUCUACUUCUGGCCUUUCAUAUUCCUGAUGGUGCAUUGGAUGAAACCCCGCAGCCAGGCGUGUGAACGUGGUUGAAAAGACCCAUGGAGGACCAGCAACGCUUCCCCACAGCGUGGGAUGGUCCCCUCCUGAGAUGGCCCACUGUCAGCGGGACUGACGCCAAGCACUGCAUCCUGUCUGCUUCUUGAACAGCCCCUUCAUUGUUUGUUCAGCUAUUCUGCUGCAUCUGCAGAUAGCCCUGCCUGAGAAACAGCCUCAAACCAGAAGGAGAGGAUGGCGGCAAGCCUUAGAGAAACAUGGAUGUUAUGUGGACUUCAUUGCCUCAGAGAAAAUUCCUUUUAGGGCUGAAGGCAGAGAAAGUCAGCAUUGAUUUCUGGCCUAAGCUCUUGGGAGUUUAGAGGGUUUGUCAAGGAGCCAAAAGAGGCAAAGGGACUUGAAGAUUUGGACGGCAUGUCUCGGAGAAGUAGCCCCACUCCUAGAGGAGAUGACAUUUGGCUUGGAGGAGAAAGAGGCCUCAAAGGUUUCACAUAUCUAAGUCCAAGGAACUUGAGCUCACAGUCAGACAUCAUAAAACACACAAGGAAAGAAGGCAUCAUGAAUAAAAGCAGGAACCAAUAUUAUUAGACACAACAGAUAAAAUGACCGUAAAGAAAAUUUGGGAAUGUGUAUUUCAGGGAAAAUGAAAAUGAUCCCAAUAAAGAUCGGAGAUGCAGGAAGGAAGGAAAACAUAGAAAUUGAGCCAGUUGGAGUGUGAGGCUUCAGAAUCGCCUUCCAACUCUCUGUGCACUGCACCAGCUGCUUCCCAUAGACUCCUGGUAAAAUAUAGAGCGGAAGGAAGAAGAGCCACUACCCAUAACAUCAGUGGCUGCUAACUAAGGAGUGUUUUGACAUGCUGGUACAGCCUAUCCUCAGCUUUCCAGAAGGUGGAAUCUUGUGAUAGUGGAAAGAAGUAGAAGAGAUGAAGUACCUAUGACUCCAGGAUUUGCCAGUGAAAGAAGUCAACAAUAUUUUAACUUUGAUCUUAACCAAAAGGCCAAGAAGUGAUGCUAAUAUUUUCAUAUACUACGACAGUUGCAGACACACGUCUAUCAUAGCUGGGUAGUAAUCCAGGCAACUCUGCCACAAGUCAUGGGCUCAGCCACCAGUCCACGAAGUCUCCAGUCACACAUAUUGCUUCGGACUAUUCUCUAUCCCCAGUUGUCAAUUAACUAAAAUAUUAAAUGAGGAUGCCAUGGAGUCCCCCAACUGAUUUCAUAAAUUUGGUGUCACAUUGUAAAUCAAGCAGCUGCAGAGUGGCUGGGACAUCUGUUUGGUUCUGUUAUUCUCUUUACUCCAAAAGGAAACUAACUCCAAAAGAAGAAAACCUGAUGUCUGAGCUGAAUCCUAAUCAUGAAGAUGUUUUUCCACCAUUCCUGUCUGUGUUUUUCUACCAUUCCUGUCUGUGUUUUUCUACCAAAGUGUGCUCUUGAAGUUCUGCAUUUCCCAGGGUGUGGUGAAAGAAGAGAAAAAAAUGUCCAAGAUGACUUCAACGUUCUGACCUUGAGUGGCUUGAGUGAAUGGAGUUACAACUGUGCAGAAAGAUUCAGUAGAGAGUUUUGGAUUUAUGCACCAGUAAGGGGAAAACUGAACAGCUGCAGAGAGCUGUAACUUUUAUAGGAGAUUAAUCUAUAAGAGAAGACAGCAAACUACAGCCUGUGUGUCAAAUCCUACUUGCCACGUCCACUGAAAGCUAACUACACUGGAACACUCUCAUUUCUGCAAAGAAAAAUAUCAUAUCCCAGGAUGAAAAGGAGGAGGAAGAGGAAAGGCUAACUUAACAAGAAGCUCUUUGACAUUCUUGAAUUAGACACCCAACGUAGUCCACGCAGUACGGAGGAUGACUUCAGAAGUGCAAUUCUGAUAUGGACUUUGUCUCCCUAAGGCUUUCAGUUCCUCAUAUUUAGGAUAAAACAGAAGUUUAUGUAAAGCCAAGGGAGAGGGUCACCGGGAGAGGGAAGGAGGAACAGCAGAAGGAGAGGUCCACACAUGAAAAUACUUGGAAGCGCCCCAGGGCCUAUCAGAUGCAGGUCUUGGCGGAAAUUACCAAACAUACUUUAGACAGGCUGCUGUGUUGCUGAGUGUGGACUGGCCUCAGGGCCUGCUGAUCAAAGCAAAAGGAAGCAGUGAAAAAAACAUCACCAUGUCUUCUUAGAGUCUAAUCUGGGGGCAAGAGGCCAGCAUGCACAGUUGGUGCUGAUUUUCUUGGGCGGAUAGAGGAAAGGUGUAGGCGUGGCCAACAUUUGAGCAGCAUGUGGUUCCUCUCACACGCCAUGCUGUUUCCGGCCUCCUUGCAUUUUACUCAUGCCAUCCUCCUGGUCACUUCUUUGAGAUAUUAAGUGCAUUCUUUAGGACUCAGACUCAGCUCAAGGGUCAGUGCAUCCAUGAAGCCUUACCUGGAUCCCAGAGGGAGCUCUGUGCUCCUCCUUUGUCUCCUAUAGGACCCAGUACAUGCGUCCAGUAUUAUCCAUACACACUGAAAUGAUCUAGCAUGUGUCUUCCCAUAGGAUUUCAAAUUCUUAGAAUAUAGGAGUGAUGCCUUCUUCCUACUUAUAUUUCCAGUGUUAACAGUGCCUGUCAAUUGACUUGAAGAUAACUAAAAGUCUGGUUGUUAAGGGCUGCUUCCCACCUCCAAAUACUUCCCUGGAAGUCAUUGUAUGGGCACUGACAUUGGUAGGUCUCCACUGGCUUGUAGAUGCUUCUGAUUAUAAGGUAGUCUCAGAUGCCUUCAGAAAGUUCUAAGACUGUAUAAAACAUUUCCUUCACAACCAAUAACUGUGUAUUAUUGUUCGUGUAAUUCCAGAAGUUAUCCUUUUGAUAGAGAGCAAUUACUUUAUUGAUUGAGAGUUAGCUAAUUAUGUAAUAAAGGUAAAGAUUUGCAUAGAGAAGUGUAAGAGACAUGGAGAAGAUUCUUGGUGGGUGGUGAGGGCGGGUACAUUUACACCAGACCAAGACUGAUCUGGCUGUGGCGCUGGAGAUUAAACUGUUUAAAUAUGGGAUCCUAAGAAGACUUCUGUGCAUUCUAGACUUCAAGAGACAGAUUGCAUUUUUUUUUAGGAAAUGUAGAUAAAACCCUUUGACUGAAUGACUCUAGAAAAUAAUACUGAUUUGAGAGAGAAAGGAAAUUCUAAAACAAAAUCCUGACAGCAGAGGCAUGAAUGAUCCUCAUGAGGAAGAAAUGAGACUCUGCUUAACUACACUGUAGAUUUUGGUGUGGAAGAAGAUGGAAGGUGGGUAUAUAGCCAAAUUUUGAAUACAAUAGGGCAGCACAAAACUGUGACAACAGUGGCAGAAGGACUGAAGUACAGAAUGUGUGAAAGUUGUUGUGAAAUAAAUAGAGAGCAACAGAAAAGGACUAUUUGGGCUGGGCAAUGGUAAUCCCAGAACUUUGGGAGGCUGAGUCAGGUGGAUCACCUGAGGUCAGGAGCUCAAGA
rnacentral:lncRNA from 1 species